rnacentral:rRNA from 1 species
AUUGAACGCUGGCGGCAUGCCUUACACAUGCAAGUCGAACGGCAGCACGGACUUCGGUCUGGUGGCGAGUGGCGAACGGGUGAGUAAUGUAUCGGAACGUGCCUGGUAGUGGGGGAUAACUAGUCGAAAGAUUAGCUAAUACCGCAUACGACCUACGGGUGAAAGCAGGGGACCUUCGGGCCUUGUGCUAUCAGAGCGGCCGAUAUCUGAUUAGCUAGUUGGUGGGGUAAAAGCCCACCAAGGCGACGAUCAGUAGCUGGUUUGAGAGAACGACCAGCCACACUGGAACUGAGACACGGUCCAGACUCCUACGGGAGGCAGCAGUGGGGAAUUUUGGACAAUGGGGGGCAACCCUGAUCCAGCAAUGCCGCGUGAGUGAAGAAGGCCCUCGGGUUGUAAAGCUCUUUUGUCAGGGAAGAAAAGGUCGUGGCUAAUAUCCACGGCUCAUGACGGUACCUGAAGAAUAAGCACCGGCUAACUACGUGCCAGCAGCCG